rnacentral:rRNA from 1 species
UACUCCUGCGGGAGGCAGCAGUGGGGAAUAUUGGACAAUGGGCGCAAGCCUGAUCCAGCCAUGCCGCGUGAGUGAUGAAGGCCCUAGGGUUGUAAAGCUCUUUCACCGGUGAAGAUAAUGACGGUAACCGGAGAAGAAGCCCCGGCUAACUUCGUGCCAGCAGCCGCGGUAAUACGAAGGGGGCUAGCGUUGUUCGGAUUUACUGGGCGUAAAGCGCACGUAGGCGGACUAUUAAGUCAGGGGUGAAAUCCCGGGGCUCAACCCCGGAACUGCCUUUGAUACUGGUAGUCUUGAGUUCGAGAGAGGUGAGUGGAAUUCCGAGUGUAGAGGUGAAAUUCGUAGAUAUUCGGAGGAACACCAGUGGCGAAGGCGGCUCACUGGCUCGAUACUGACGCUGAGGUGCGAAAGCGUGGGGAGCAAACAGGAUUAGAAACCCCGGUAGUCCCAUGAU